rnacentral:tRNA from 3 species
GGAGGCUUCGCCUAGUCUGGUCUAUGGCGCCGCACUGCUAAUGCGGUUUGGGCCUUAAAGCCCAUCGAGGGUUCAAAUCCCUCAGCCUCCGC